CCUACGGGAGGCAGCAGUGGGGAAUUUUGGACAAUGGGCGAAAGCCUGAUCCAGCCAUUCCGCGUGCAGGAUGAAGGCCCUCGGGUCGUAAACUGCUUUUGUACAGAACGAAAAGGUUUCUACUAAUACUAGGAGCUCAUGACGGUACUGUAAGAAUAAGCACCGGCUAACUACGUGCCAGCAGCCGCGGUAAUACGUAGGGUGCAAGCGUUAAUCGGAAUUACUGGGCGUAAAGCGUGCGCAGGCGGUUAUAUAAGUCAGAUGUGAAAUCCCCGGGCUCAACCUGGGAACUGCAUUUGAGACUGUAUAGCUAGAGUACGGUAGAGGGGGAUGGAAUUCCGCGUGUAGCAGUGAAAUGUGUAGAUAUGCGGAGGAACACCGAUGGCGAAGGCAAUCCCCUGGACCUGUACUGACGCUCAUGCACGAAAGCGUGGGGAGCAAACAGGAUUAGAUACCCUGGUAGUCCACGCCCUAAACGAUGUCAACUGGUUGUUGGGUCUUAACUGACUCAGUAACGAAGCUAACGCGUGAAGUUGACCGCCUGGGGAGUACGGCCGCGAAGGUUGAAACCGUUAAAGGAAUUGACGG
rnacentral:rRNA from 1 species